rnacentral:rRNA from 1 species
GUAAUACAACUUUCAGCAACGGAUCUCUUGGCUCUCGCAUCGAUGAAGAACGCAGCGAAAUGCGAUAAGUAAUGUGAAUUGCAGAAUUCAGUGAAUCAUCGAAUCUUUGAACGCAUCUUGCGCUCCUUGGUAUUCCGAGGAGCAUGCCUGUUUGAGUGUCAUUAAAUUCUCAACUCUCUUAUACUUUUUUGUAAAAGAGAGCUUGGACUG